GGGUGAGUAACACGUGGGUGAUCUGCCCUGCACUUCGGGAUAAGCCUGGGAAACUGGGUCUAAUACCGGAUAGGAGCCAUUUUUAGUGUGAUGGUUGGAAAGUUUUUUCGGUGUAGGAUGAGCUCGCGGCCUAUCAGCUUGUUGGUGGGGUAAUGGCCUACCAAGGCGGCGACGGGUAGCCGGCCUGAGAGGGUGGACGGCCACAUUGGGACUGAGAUACGGCCCAGACUCCUACGGGAGGCAGCAGUGGGGAAUAUUGCACAAUGGGCGCAAGCCUGAUGCAGCGACGCCGCGUGGGGGAUGACGGCCUUCGGGUUGUAAACUCCUUUCGCUAGGGACGAAGCUUUUUGUGACGGUACCUAGAUAAGAAGCACCGGCUAACUACGUGCCAGCAGCCGCGGUAAUACGUAGGGUGCGAGCGUUGUCCGGAAUUACUGGGCGUAAAGGGCUCGUAGGUGGUUUGUCGCGUCGUCUGUGAAAUUCCGGGGCUUAACUCCGGGCAUGCAGGCGAUACGGGCAUAACUUGAGUACUGUAGGGGUAACUGGAAUUCCUGGUGUAGCGGUGAAAUGCGCAGAUAUCAGGAGGACACCGAUGGCGAAGGCAGGUUACUGGGCAGUUACU
rnacentral:rRNA from 1 species